UACGUAGGGUGCGAGCGUUGUCCGGAAUUACUGGGCGUAAAGAGCUCGUAGGUGGUUUGUCGCGUUGUUCGUGAAAACUCACAGCUUAACUGUGGGCGUGCGGGCGAUACGGGCAGACUGGAGUACUGCAGGGGAGACUGGAAUUCCUGGUGUAGCGGUGGAAUGCGCAGAUAUCAGGAGGAACACCGGUGGCGAAGGCGGGUCUCUGGGCAGUAACUGACGCUGGAGGAGCGAAAAGCCGUGGGGAGCGAAACAGG
rnacentral:rRNA from 1 species